CCAUUUUGAGAUCUCUACCUUGAUCUCUCAUCCUUCCCGCGUUUGAAUUCUUUGUAUUCAACUUUGUGUUCUUAGUUUCUCACUGCCUGAGAACAUUUCGGAGAAACUGCAUAUUCCGACUAUCAGUUCUUCGCAUUUUCCAUCUCCUUCAGCUGCGUUUUGAAUUGCUUGAACUUGUUGUUGUGGGAAUUCGGAAUCCCUACUACCAGAGAAUGUGGAGAAACAUUGUCAAAAGAGCUGCUUCAAGGAGGGAUACGUUCUUCUCCAGAAAAGUUAUUGAAGACUCUAUCUUUGUUGAGGAAAUUAGAUCCUCCAGGACACUCGGAAGCUUGAAAUCAUGUUGCCUGUUAGAGGGCUCUCGUGGAAUCAGCUUUUUCCAUUCCCGUGAAGUUGGGUUUGCGAAAUCCAAUUUCGCACAUUCAAGCGAUCCCGUAGCUUUUUAUGGGGUUCUAAACCAUGCCAAUGGCUACGCAACUGCUGCGGAGGCUGCGAUUUCCGAGGAGGACUUAUCAGGGUCGGAAGAAAUUCAGGAAUUGAUGGAGGAACUAAGCAAACAAGAUAAGGUGGAGUCUUACUUUCAGCAGCCUAAGAAAAUGGUGGAUGGAAUGGGGGUCGGUAAGUACAAUAUUCUACGGAAGAGACAGAUAAAGAUGGAGACGGAGGCUUGGGAAGAGGCUGCCAGAGAGUAUCAAGAGCUAUUAACGGAUAUGUGUGAGCAGAAGUUGGCGCCCAAUUUACCUUACAUGAAGUCUUUAUUCCUUGGUUGGUUUGAACCCUUGCGUGAUGCAAUUGCUGCAGACCAGGAGUUUUGCAAGAAGAAGAGUAGAGUGUCUCAUGCUCCUUAUUUUGAUCUUCUGCCGGCGGAUAUGAUGGCUGUGAUUACAAUGCACAAGUUAAUGGGGUUGUUGAUGACUAGCAGUGGAGGAAACAGUAGUGUCAGGGUAGUCCAAGCUGCUUGUCAGAUAGGAGAAGCCAUUGAACACGAGGUUAGAAUACACAAGUUCUUUGAGAAUACGAAGAAGAAGAAGAGUAAUGAAAAAACUACUGAAGGAGACACUGAACCUGUGGUCAAAGACCAGGAGAAACUGGCCAAAGAACAAGACAAAUUGAGGAAAAAAGUCACCAACCUGAUGAAGAAACAGAAGUUGCGGCAAGUGAGGAUGAUAGUCAAGGAACACGACCAUUUAAAGCCUUGGGGCCAGGAUGCGCAUGUGAAGGUUGGUUGUCGUUUGAUUCAGCUAUUGAUUGAAACAGCGUAUAUUCAACCUCCAAUGGAUCAGUUAGGAGGGGGUCCUCCUGAUAUUCGUCCCGCCUUUGUCCAUACUCUUAAAACCAUCACAACAGAAGCACAAAAGACUAGCAGGAGAUAUGGUGUUAUUGAAUGCGAUCCACUUGUUCGCAGAGGCCUGGAGAAAACUGCAAGACACAUGGUCAUACCAUAUAUGCCUAUGCUGGUGCCUCCCCUUAAUUGGACAGGGUAUGAUAAAGGAGCACACUUAUUCCUACCAUCAUAUGUUAUGCGAAUACAUGGGGCAAAGCAGCAACGUGAAGCAGUUAAAAGGGUUCCAAAGAAACAACUAGAGCCUGUUUUUGAGGCACUUGAUACGCUUGGAAGAACCAAGUGGAGGGUGAACAAAAGAGUUCUUAGCAUUAUUGACAGGAUAUGGGCCAGUGGUGGUCGUCUUGCUGAUUUGGUUGACCGUGAAGAUGCUCCUCUACCAGAGGAGCCAACUGUGGAAGAUGAAGAAGAAAUUCGAAAAUGGAAGUGGAAACUCAAGGCUGCAAAAAAAGAGAAUAGUGAGAGGCAUUCACAGCGGUGUGACAUUGAGCUUAAGCUUGCAGUGGCCAGGAAAAUGAAAGAAGAGGAGGGCUUUUACUAUCCUCACAACUUAGAUUUUCGAGGUCGUGCAUACCCAAUGCAUCCACAUUUGAAUCAUCUUGGUUCUGAUAUGUGUCGAGGAAUUCUAGAAUUUGCGGAGGGACGGCCACUUGGAGAGUCAGGGUUACGCUGGUUGAAGAUACAUUUGGCAAAUCUAUACGCUGGUGGUGUGGACAAGUUAUCUUACAAGGAUCGAAUGUCAUUUACUGAGAAUCAUUUGGAUGAGAUUUUUGAUUCGGCAGACAGGCCUCUAGAAGGAAAUCGUUGGUGGUUGGGCGCAGAGGAUCCUUUUCAGUGCUUGGCAGUGUGUAUUAAUCUCUCAGAGGCUUUAAGAAGUCCAUCGCCGGAAACAACUCUUUCCCAUAUGCCUGUACACCAGGAUGGUUCCUGCAAUGGCUUGCAACACUAUGCAGCUCUCGGGAGGGACAAGUUGGGAGCAGCGGCAGUUAACCUUGUAGCAGGAGAUAAGCCCGCAGAUGUGUACUCCGGAAUUGCUGCCAGAGUUCUUGACAUAAUGCGAAGUGAUGCAGAGAAAGAUCCUGCAACUAAUCCAAAUGCGUUGCAUGCUAGACUUUUAAUCAAUCAGGUGGAUCGUAAACUGGUGAAACAAACAGUCAUGACAUCCGUGUAUGGUGUCACGUAUAUGGGUGCACGGGAUCAGAUUAAGAAAAGGUUGAAAGAACGAGCAUCCAUUGCUGAUGAUUCACAAUUAUUUGCAGCUUCUUGCUAUGCAGCUAGAACUACCUUGACUGCCUUGGGGGAAAUGUUUGAAGCAGCAAGAAGUAUCAUGAGCUGGCUUGGUGAAUGUGCAAAGGUAAUAGCUUCAGAAAAUCAGCCAGUUCGAUGGACAACUCCUCUUGGACUGCCAGUGGUACAACCUUACCGGCAACUAGGAAGACAUCUUAUCAAGACUUCCUUGCAAGUGUUGGCUCUACAACGAGAAACUGACAAGGUCAUGGCUACGCGUCAGAAAACAGCUUUUCCUCCAAAUUUUGUACACUCCCUUGAUGGUUCUCAUAUGAUGAUGACUGCUGUCGCCUGCAGAAGGGCAGGCCUUAACUUUGCAGGUGUCCAUGAUUCAUACUGGACCCAUGCAUGCGAUGUUGACGUAAUGAACAGGCUACUAAGGGAGAAAUUUGUUGAGCUAUACGAGGCUCCUAUUCUGGAGAAUUUACUGGAAAAUUUCCAAAAGUCCUUCCCCACUUUAAAGUUUCCGCCCUUACCCGAUCGGGGAGACUUCGAUCUCAAGGACGUCCUGCAAUCUUCCUAUUUCUUCAAUUAGUGCAGCCUAGAUACUUCAGUCGGAUGUUCUUUCUCAUAUGUGCUACACGUCUGUGGCUGACAUACAGUCCUGUCUACGACUCUUGAAAUCAGACUCUGGAGGCGAGUUUGCUUCUUCGAGGUCAGUGCUGUCCAGCUACUUGUACAUAACAUAUUCUCCAACCAUUGGUAGUCUAAAUCUUGGAACUUGGGAGUUCAAUCUGCCAUUCACGUAUUCAACUUUUACCUUACAAAAGAAAGAUAGGUUAUAUUUGGUGGAAGCUACGGAAUUUCUACCUUCAUUGUACUCUGAUCCGGACUUCAGUUCUGACACUGCAAUCAAUUAGAGGUUCAGCGAUGCUGAGAGACAUGGCUUUCAAAGUGUGAUCAAUGAAGUAAGAUCUCGGAGUAAUCUCCCAAAGAUCAGCUGGAGUUGUUGCCAUGUAGUUUACACUGUAAUCAAAAUUUUUUAUUAUUACAUAUUAUGUGUAAAGUUGAAGGAAAGUAUUGGUAGCGAGGUCUGUUUUGGUUCUUCUCUUUAAACUUGUUGAUUCAUUCACUAUUUCAAGGAAGAAACAAAAUAUUCAGUUUUGUUAGGGGUCAAAAUAUGGAAUAUUCCACACUAACUUUGACAGAUUGUCUCAAGUUUUGGGCAGAGGAGAGGCCAUGUGCCAUACCUUCUCUUUUAA